UACGUAGGGGGCUAGCGUUGUCCGGAAUCAUUGGGCGUAAAGCGCGUGUAGGCGGCCCGGUAAGUCCGCUGUGAAAGUCCAGGGCUCAACCCUGGGAUGCCGGUGGAUACUGUCGGGCUCGAGUCCGGAAGAGGCGAGUGGAAUUCCUGGUGUAGCGGUGGAAUGCGCAGAUAUCAGGAGGAACACCAAUAGCGAAGGCAGCUCGCUGGGACGGUACUGACGCUAAGGCGCGAAAGCGUGGGGAGCGAACGAGG
rnacentral:rRNA from 1 species